ACUCAAUUCCAAUACUCUCUUUCACAUUUAGCCACCUCAUCUAUUUUUAAAAAAAUUUCAUAUUCUCUCUCCUUUUCCUCUAUCCGUAAAAUACACGCGCCCCCUCCUUGCUUGGUUAUUUUCAUUUUACUCAGCAGUUACGUUCUUCUCUCAUUCUUCAAAAACUCUUUACCAAAUUCAAAUGCAAAAUCAACGCAUUUGUUUCUCAUUCAUUUCUCAUCUCAUCUGGUUCUUCUCAUCUCAUUUUGCAUUCUGUUUCUCAUUCAAAUUCAAAUGCAAAAUCAACGGAAAAGCCUCAAUUUGGUAAUCCAUGUUUGGUAUUUUUUCAAGGUUAUUUCCUCUCUUUAGAUUUUGCCUCUCGCCUGGUAAUCCAUCUCUCACUAGGUUAUCUGCACCUCACUUUAGCCCCAAUUUCCUAUGUCUCCUGAUAUUUCCUUCCAAAAUCAAUUUUAGGUUUUGGUAGAUUGUUUCUAAAGUGCGAUGCGAAAUUUGAAUUUUGUUUCUACAGAUGUCAAUUUUGCUAGAUUGCUUCUUCAAUGCAAUAUGAAAUUGCUUCUACAGUGCGAUUUUUGGGAGAUUUUACCUCUGCAGUGCGAGAGUUCUGUUUUCGCCAUGAGAGAUUCGAAUCCCUAAUUUUAGGAUGCAAUUAUGUAUUCUGCUCUCAUGAAUCCCCGAGUUCAACAUCAGACAUCUAAAAAGAGAAACUAAGGUUGGGAACUUGAUGAGAAGCAGUUUGAAAAUCAUGAUUAAAUGAUCUGUCAAUCAUUCUUCCUAUAUAUGUUGAUACUUGCAAUCACAUGAGUAAGUUUUAAAAUCUACCAUGUAUACUAUAAAUUUGAAUCCUCACUUUGAAGGGCUAGACACUCAAAUUAUACACUCACACAUAGCCACAUCUGUCUUUUUUUAACAACUCAUUGUCUCUAAUUCCCAGUCUAUCACGUGCCUUUUCUCCUGAUUAUCAAAUACAUAUGUAAUGGAAUGCAAGUUGCAUCUUUUGUUUUGCAGUACAUUCUGUAUGGUAUUGCAGUUAAGUUUAUUAUAGACUACAUGAAGGGAGAGUAUCCCAUGGUCCACUGAAGAAAUAUUUUUUGAUUUUAAAGUAGUAUCAUAUUUAUAAUCUAGGUCUUUACCUAUUCAUGUUUGAUAUACUUUGGCAGAAGAAUAGCUGUGUUGUUUCAGGUCUGAUUAUGCAGCUUUUUUUCUCACUUUGAAGUCUCUAGAAGUGGUAAAAUGCUACUGGUUUUGAGGUGCUGAGGCGUGGUCCAUCAAUUGAAGAAGAUUGCAUUGUCUUGGAUCAAUUAAAGGUUGUUUGUUGGGUGCUGUUUUUCUGUUUUGCUGUUCUAUUCUAUUAGUUUUGCUUUUAGCUUUUUCUUGUACUGUCAUCUUUUGUCUUUGUUACUUGCUGUGAGUUAUCUAUGUUGUCUAUUAUGACUCUUUAUUUAA